AUUGAACGCUGGCGGCAGGCCUAACACAUGCAAGUCGAACGGUGACAGGAAGCAGCUUGCUGCUUCGCUGACGAGUGGCGGACGGGUGAGUAAUGUCUGGGAAGCUGCCUGAUGGAGGGGGAUAACUACUGGAAACGGUAGCUAAUACCGCAUAAUGUCGCAAGACCAAAGAGGGGGACCUUCGGGCCUCUUGCCAUCGGAUGUGCCCAGAUGGGAUUAGCUUGUUGGUGGGGUAACGGCUCACCAAGGCGACGAUCCCUAGCUGGUCUGAGAGGAUGACCAGCCACACUGGAACUGAGACACGGUCCAGACUCCUACGGGAGGCAGCAGUGGGGAAUAUUGCACAAUGGGCGCAAGCCUGAUGCAGCCAUGCCGCGUGUAUGAAGAAGGCCUUCGGGUUGUAAAGUACUUUCAGCGGGGAGGAAGGGAGUAAAGUUAAUACCUUUGCUCAUUGACGUUACCCGCAGAAGAAGCACCGGCUAACUCCGUG
rnacentral:rRNA from 1 species